rnacentral:rRNA from 1 species
GAUAAACGCUAGCGGCGUGCCUUAUGCAUGCAAGUCGAACGGGUUGCCUCUGGCAACCAGUGGCGAACGGGUGAGUAACACGUAAGUAACCUGCCCUUAAGUAGGGAAUAACUUUGAGAAAUCGGAGCUAAUACACUAUGUGGUGGUAGGGGUAAUGCCUUAUCACUAAAGCCUUAGGGUGCUUAGGGAGGGGCUUGCGUCCGAUUAGCUAGUUGGUGGAGUAAUGGUUUACCAAGGCGAUGAUCGGUAGCUGGUCUGAGAGGACGGUCAGCCACACUGGGACUGAGAUACGGCCCAGACUCCUACGGGAGGCAGCAGCAAGGAAUAUUGUGCAAUGGGCGAAAGCCUGACACAGCGACGCCGCGUGGGGGAUGAAGGCCUUCGGGUUGUAAACCCCUUUUCCCAGGGAAGAAUAAUGACGGUAC